rnacentral:misc_RNA from 1 species
GAAAUGCGAUAAGUAGUGUGAAUUGCAGAAUUCAGUGAAUCAUCGUAUCUUUGAACGCACAUUGCGCCCUUUGGUAUUCCAAAGGGCAUGCCUGUUCGAGCGUCAUUUGUACCCUCAAGCUUUGCUUGGUGUUGGGCGUCUUGUCUCUAGCUUUGCUGGAGACUCGCCUUAAAGUAAUUGGCAGCCGGCCUACUGGUUUCGGAGCGCAGCACAAGUCGCACUCUCUAUCAGCAAAGGUCUAGCAUCCAUUAAGCCUUUUUUCAACUUUUGACCUCGGAUCAGGUAGGGAUACCCGCUGAACUUAAGC